rnacentral:lncRNA from 1 species
AAAUGGACUCUUUCAAGUUACCCACUCGGAAGUAACAGAUGUUGUUCAGGGACGACGAAUUUUGUCGCUCUCCAUCCUAUCGACAGCUACAUUCUCAAAUUUACCGCUGGCACGAGCUCACACCGUUCAAACAGCGCAUCAAACCCGUCUGAAUGUGUAACCCGUGGGCAUUUGCAUCGUCACAUGACCCGAUUUCGGAAUGCAGGAUCCAUCAGCGGAAAAUGACAUAUUGUGCCAAGACAGAAAGUAUCUCACCGUACUGGCGUCGCGCUCGACUUUUGUCUUUACAUAUCUCGGUGCAGAGGGUUCAUCAGCAUCCACCGUCGUAUUCCAUGCGAGCAAUAUCUACGAGCACGUACCACACGUCAACUCGGAACUGUCGCCCCCUAUAACAGGACAGCGAUCCCCGGUGCCCUGAUCCGCCUCCCGCAGGAAGCAGUCCGAGCAAAGGCACUGAGGUGUGGCAGCGCUAGUCUGACCUGUUAGCGACAGUAUCGACGACAUUUAACAAAAUUAAUAAAGCAUGUUUUUGCUUAUUUGACUUCAAAACAUUUGACCGCAUGUGCUGAAUUGUUUCCAUUGAGUCGCUUUAAUGUGUUAAUGUCAGCAUGAAUCUAUAGCAUGCUAAUAGUUUUAAUUCAAACCAAAACAUCACUCAGGGUUAUUAAUAAGUUUAGCAUAUAUUUUUGUUAUUCUUUUUAUAUUGAUUUUAAAUAAAAUCUUAUUUAACCUCGUCA